GAUGAACGCUGGCGGCGUGCCUAACACAUGCAAGUCGAACGAAGCUUGACGGAUGAUUUCUUCGGAAUGAAACCAGAUAUGACUUAGUGGCGGACGGGUGAGUAACACGUGAGCAACCUGCCUUUCAGAGGGGGAUAACGGCUGGAAACGGUCGCUAAUACCGCAUGAUGUGUUCGGAUGGCAUCAUCUGAACAUCAAAGAUUUAUCGCUGAAAGAUGGGCUCGCGUCUGAUUAGAUAGUUGGUGGGGUAACGGCCUACCAAGUCUACGAUCAGUAGCCGGACUGAGAGGUUGAACGGCCACAUGGGGACUGAGAUACGGCCCAGACUCCUACGGGAGGCAGCAGUGGGGAAUAUUGCACAAUGGGGGAAACACUGAUGCAGCAACGCCGCGUGAAGGAUGACGGUUUUCGGAUUGUAAACUUCUUUUCUUAGUGACGAAGACAGUGACGGUAGCUAAGGAAUAAGCAUCGGCUAACUACGUG
rnacentral:rRNA from 1 species